ACAUAAAAUUUAUACACCACUUGAUUGUAAAAAACAACAACCCUCAAAGUGGGUUACAAAGAUCUAAGUUGUUUCUCAAUACAUUUAACAAAAGGCCAUACUGAUUUUUGCCUUUGAUAAAGCCUACAUCUGUUUCACACAUACCUCUUAAAUAAGCUGCCUUCCGGAUCAGUUAAAUAAAUGUUAAUACUUUUGGAAGACAGUGCUGUAUUCACUGUUUCUUCCUCAAAGUAAUAUUUCUUCCUUUAACAAAACAAAACUGUUCUCUUAUAGGACUCCCAAUUAUCUCCCAUCCAAGAAACUGAUUAGAGAAAGAGAUGAUUGUGGAGCUACCAGGGAAAGAGAUGAUUGUGGAGUUACCAGGGGAAAAUAUAAUUGUGGAACCAUCACUGAAAAUGUCAUUAUCCAUUCCCUCUUCAUUUGAAUUUUGCACGUGGUUUGUGUCAAAUAGUUCAGAAUCAAAGAUCACAGUGAGAUAU